GGGGAAUCUUCCGCAAUGGGCGAAAGUCUGACGGAGCGACGCCGCGUGCGGGAUGAAGGCCCUCGGGUUGUAAACCGCUGUCAGAGGGGAACAAAUCUAGGGGGGUUCUCCCCUUUAGUUGAGUGAUCCUCAGAGGAAGUACGGGCUAAGUUCGUGCCAGCAGCCGCGGUAACACGAACCGUACGAACGUUAUUCGGAAUCACUGGGCUUAAAGAGUGCGUAGGCGGCCUGGCAGGUUGGGUGUGAAAUCCCUCGGCUCAACCGAGGAACUGCGCUCAAAACCGCCAGGCUUGAGUGAGAUAGGGGAGAGCGGAACUAAUGGUGGAGCGGUGAAAUGCGUUGAUAUCAUUAGGAACACCGGUGGCGAAGGCGGCUCUCUGGGUCUCUACUGACGCUGAGGCACGAAAGCUAGGGGACUAA
rnacentral:rRNA from 1 species